rnacentral:rRNA from 1 species
GGAAUAUUGGGCAAUGGGCGAACGCCUGACCCAGCAACGCCGCGUGAAGGAAGAAGGUUUUCGGAUCGUAAACUUCUGUCCUUGGUGAAGAUAAUGACGGUAGCCUGGGAGGAAGCCCCGGCUAACUACGUGCCAGCAGCCGGGUAAUACGUAGGGGGCGAGCGUUGUCCGGAAUGAUUGGGCGUAAAGGGCGCGUAGGCGGCCCGGUAAGUCUGAAGUGAAAGUCCUGGUUUUAAGUUGGGAAUUGCUUUGGAUACUGUCGGGCUUGAGUGCAGGAGAGGUAAGUGGAAUUCCCAGUGUAGCGGUGAAAUGCGUAGAGAUUGGGAGGAACACCAGUGGCGAAGGCGACUUACUGGACUGUAACUGACGCUGAGGCGCGAAAGUGUGGGGAGCAAACA